rnacentral:rRNA from 1 species
UACGGGGGGGGCAAGCGUUGUUCGGAAUUACUGGGCGUAAAGGGCUCGUAGGCGGCCAACUAAGUCCGACGUGAAAUCCCAAGGCUUAACCUUGGAACUGCGUCGGAUACUGGAUGGCUUGAAUUCGGGAGAGGGAUGCAGAAUUCCAGGUGUAGCGGUGAAAUGCGUAGAUAUCUGGAGGAAUACCGGUGGCGAAGGCGGCAUCCUGGACCGACAUUGACGCUGAUGAGCGAAAGCUAGGGGAGCAAACGGG